GCUUUCCACAUCCACAAGUUAUUGGUGAAGCUUUGUGCAAACCAUUUGAUUUUUCCAUGCUUUAUCCAUCAGUUCCCUGUAAGUAAGUCAUAAAGACUGUCUUUCAAGGUUGCUGUCAUGAUAGAUCAAGAAAUACUAGGGAUUUGUCUGGGUCCUGCACUUAAAAUGAUGUUUUCACAUAACGUAUCUGGCACAAGAAUAAGCAGACUGUUUAAUACGAUCUUUUCUUAGUAAUCCUACAGAAUAGAUGCCUGAAUUAUACUGUAAUCUGCUGCUGCAAGACUUUAGGUAAACUGGUGCUGCAGCUGAAUCCAAACAAGCACUGUUUUACAGCUGCUGGAACUGAAGAAGUGCAGGCAGAUCUAUGCUGCAGGCAGUUUCACCAUGAAAUGUCACGAGCUCCUUGAACCAUCAGUGCGCUCUGCUUUCCGUUGCAGGUCACUGCCUGUCACAGGCUUCUUGUCCUGCUUGGCUCCGCUCCUGGGCUAAUCCUACCACUUGGCAUCACUGUUUGCUCACUGCCCUUCAUCCAGGAAAAUCAGUAAAAAAUUU